AAGUCGUAACAAGGUUUCCGUAGGUGAACCUGCGGAAGGAUCAUUACAGAGGUUUAUCCUUAUUUUGUGAACUUAUUAUCUGGUGUGUAUGUAUGAGUGAGAGCGAGUGCGGGAGCACGAGUUGAUAUCAAUUGUGAAAGAAAUGAGUCACCAUUCGUCCAACACAAUACAUAUGCACCAAACACUUUAUACCAAUUUCUGUCUGAAGAAAACGAAAUGAAAAC
rnacentral:misc_RNA from 1 species